ensembl:snoRNA Gm22545 predicted gene, 22545
CCUGUCACUAGAGGAAUUGUAGUUGUGGCUGCUAUGUCACAUGUGCAUCAUUAUAUGGCAGAGAGAAGAAAGGCUAUGUCUAUGCUCAGUGUUCUGACCUGUAUAUAUGUAAAUGAUUAAUAGGUUAAUGCA